rnacentral:misc_RNA from 1 species
AACGCACCUUGCGCUCCUUGGUAUUCCGAGGAGCAUGCCUGUUUGAGUGUCAUUUAAAUUCUCAAACCAGCUGGGUUGCUCUUGCUUCCCAGUUGGCUUUGGAUGUGGGGGUUUCUUUUGCUGGCUUAUCAUACAAGUCUGCUCCCCUGAAAUGCAUUAGCUGGUGUCUUUCUUUUGCCUGUCUACUGGUGUGAUAACUAUCUGCGCCAUAGGGUGAAUAUUUCAAAAGCACUGCUUCUAACCGUCCUUUUGGACAGCAAAUGACAAUUUUGACCUCAAAUCAGGUAGGACUACCCGCUGAACUUAA